rnacentral:lncRNA from 1 species
GCUAAGCCAGGACUGCUUUUCUGGAGUGAUAAUGUGCUUGCCUGUGUCUAAGAGAAAGGACCCUGGCUGAUAAAUGGGACUUGGAUUUUAAAUACCAUUGGAUAAUAAAUGUAUGUGAUGGCUUUGGAGCAAAUUGAUUGACAAUGGCUAGGCAGAAUCUCACUCUGUAGUCACCCAGGCUGGAAUGCAGUGGUGCGAUCUUGGCUCACUGCAACCUCCACCUCCCAGAUGCAAGCGAUUCUUGUGCCUCAGCCUCCCGAGUAGCUGGGAUUAAAGGCAUGCGCCACCACGCCCAGGAGACAGCUUCCCAAGGCUGGAAAGAGGGGAGUGCGGAACAUGCCUCCACCAUACCACUGCCCACCUCCUGUGACCUCUGCAGCAAAACCUGAAGCCCCAAAGAGGCAGCUUCUCAAAGUAAAAGUGGAAUGAAGGUCCUGGUGACCUGAAUUCCCAUGGAGGAAAGAGGAAAAGGACAUUAUGCAAGGAGAUGGCAUCUCGUGUCCCUGGUGAACCAAAUUCCAUUAGGAAGACGGUGCAGUGUGAGGUGGACCUGGACCUGGAUAAAAUGGGUGUUUAACAAGUAUUUGUUGAGUAGGUGGUGGAGGAGGCACGACUAGAUGCAGGGUCUAGCUGAGUUGACAAGAGCUAACACCAGGUGUGGACCAGGACAGGGGGACCUUAAGCGAAGACACCCUGCCAGAUGUGUCUUGUUCCCUUGACUGUGGGGAGGCCCUUGGUGGUGGGGUGACGGUCCCCCAGUCUGAGGAUUUUCCCUGGAUGUAGCCUCUCAGUGCUAAAAUGGGACAGUCCCAGGCAAACCAGGUCAGUUGGUCACUCUACUCAGUGAGCCCCGUGCUGUGUUCAAAUUUUCCUCUUAACAGAUGUGGAUGGAUUUCGGAAACUUAGAAACCACCAUUUCUCUGUGCCUGGGAGGAGAGUUAAAUCUUCUCACCAGAAUCCUUUUAUGUGUGAGAGAAAUAAAUAUCUAUCCUUUUUAUAUCUCUUUUGUUUUGGAUUCUUUGUCACCAGCAGCCAAACCCAAUUCUUACAUAAACGUGAUACUAAUUAAAUUCAUUUGCAUAAACUCACCAGUUUUAUCCUUAAUUACUGUGAUAUACACUCAUGAAGUAUGUACCCUAAAAUACCACUGUAAGUUUUAUUUGAUUACAGCAUUAAACUUAAUUUACAGAAAU